UACAUGGGGUGCAAACGUUGCUCGGAAUUAUUGGGCGUAAAGCGCACGUAGGCGGUUUGUUAAGUCGGAUGUGAAAUCCCUCGGCUCAACUGAGGAAGUGCAUUCCGAAACUGGCAGGCUUGAGUACUAAAGAGGGUCCGCGGAAUUCCCGGUGUAGAGGUGAAAUUCGUAGAUAUACGGGAGGAACACCGGUGGCGAAGGCGGCGACCUGGGUAGAUACGUGACGCUGAGGUGCGAAAGCGUGGGGAGCAAACAGG
rnacentral:rRNA from 1 species